rnacentral:ncRNA from 1 species
ACCCAAUAGCGAGCGGGGGGUGCCCGUGCGGCGUUGCCGCACGGGAGAAUAGGGAAGUCGUCAUCCGGCUUCGGCCGGAGAAGCGCGCGGGCCCGCCACUGUGACCGGGGAGGCGCCCGAGCCCACUCGCACCUGCGGGGAAGGGCCGGGCAGGAGCCGACGAUCCGGAAGCCAGGAGACCUGCCCUUCGCCGUGUGACCGU